UCAAUUCAAAUUCGUCUUCUCUUCUAUCCUAAUCUUCUCACUUUCUACUUUGCUUGUCUUAAAGUUAUGUUAAUAUUUCUGGGAUGAAUUCUCUAUACACGAAUUCACAUACCUCUACAGAUUUUAUCUUUAAAAUAGACCCUUAUGUAUUUAAAAAAGAGGUCAUUUCCCAACUCAAAUAUUGUGCCCAGGCAAAUUUCGUCCAAUGAAUUUUGAAGCUCAGAUGUUUCAAACCUGUGGAACUGAAUAAACAAAUGUUUCAAACCUGAGGGUCCAAGUCACGCUAGAGGGGAAGUGAGAACACUAUUGAUCCUCCCGCCGAGGAAAACAAAUCCCAGAAUUAAGUUGUAGUAUAAUUGCCAGGGAAAUACAACAUAUAGCUUUCAAGGAAAGAGUCAAAAACAGAAGCGAAAGCCCAAGCUCAUUUUUCAUCAGCUUAAUCUAUCAGCUACAAUACAGAAGGUACACAUAUACAUUAAGAUAUACGUACAUGGCUGGUCCUUCUGAUUGUAAUCUAAAAGUAUAUAAAGAAACUUUCCAAGUCCAAGAUGAAGUAUUUACAAAAUCGUAUACCGUAUACAUGUAUUAGACACUAUUCAUGGGGAAACAUAAGAUGUGUUCUCUCCUUGAUGACCUGAGUUCAAGGAGUAUAUGUCAAGAGGGAUGUUGGUGCCCUUAACAAUAUUCGAUCCAGCAUUUAUGGACCUUCCAGGGUGAUCCAAAUACAUUACUAUGACUGUGAUA